GACGAACGCUGGCGGCGUGCCUAAUACAUGCAAGUAGAACGCACAGUUUAUACUGUAGCUUGCUACACCAGAGACAGUGAGUUGCGAACGGGUGAGUAACGCGUAGGUAACCUGCCUGACAGCGGGGGAUAACUGUUGGUAACGAUAGCUAAUACCGCAUGAUAUUAAUUAUUGCAUGAUCAUUAAGUUAAAGGUGCAAUUGCACCACUACCAGAUGGACGUGCGGUGUAUUAGCUAGUAGGGGAGGUAACGGCUCACCUAGGCGACGAUACAUAGCCGACCUGGGAGGGUGAUCGGCCACACUGGGACUGGGACACGGCCCAGACUCCUACGGGAAGCAGCAGUAGGGAAUCUUCGGCCAUGGACGGAAGUCUUACCGAGCAACGCCGCGUGGGUGGAGAAGGGUUUCGGAUCGUAAAGCUCUGUUGUGUGGGAAGAACGGGUGUGAGGGUGGAAAGUUCACGCUGUGACGGUAUCUUACCAGAAAGCGACGGCUAACUACGUG
rnacentral:rRNA from 1 species